rnacentral:lncRNA from 1 species
AAUUCCCCGGGCCCACCCCUUCCUUAAUGAUCUAUGGGUGUGGAGCAGGGAGCUGCCAGAAUGCAUUUGCCACAUGAAAGUAAGUCACCCUGCACUGUGACACAGAGUGAUUUCUUCUAAAGAGUCUUCCCCUGUGAAGUGCUCCUCAGAUCUGCCUCCUCCCUGCUCCCUUUUGAUGAGCAACCCCAUGCACAGCACAGGAGGAAUAGCAGGGGUGGAGGCUGGCAAGAAGAAUGCCAACAGAACACCUUCUGGGGCCAGAGAGGAAGAUGCCCCGCCUGACAGCCCAGACUCCCUGCUGCUGGCAGAAGAGGACUCAGCCACCAACAAACACCAGCACCUGUGCUGUCAGGGGACAGGGGAGUCAAGUGGCUGUCCCUCGGCUUCCCCAGAGAGCAAAGCAGAUGAGAGGACUGGGGACAGUCCCAGCUGCUCCCCCCCCCCGCGACCCAGCCAUUCUGGAGCUCUUUAAAAAGCUUUGUUUCCCACUCUGGGGGCAGGACCAAGAUGCAGCAAGCAGGUUGGACUCCCAAAAAUGUAACCAGAUGUGAGAAGUGUCUCCUCCUACCUCUUAAGCUGUCUCCCUGGGAUCUGGACUUUCCAUUCAAGCUGGGGCCCAUCAAUCACGCUGCAGCUCCCCAGCUCGCUGGCUCUUGGGGUGAAUGGGGGCUGAGCGCAGUGUGCAGGGCUGAGCGCAGUGUGCAGGGCUGAGGCUGAGGCGGGCCGCGCUACCCACAGCCCUGCGUCCUGGCCGGGCCUCCUGGCACUCUGCUCCUUCAUCUGGGCGGGUGCAGGGUGCUGAAUCACUUCCCCCACUGCUCUCCAGCCUUGACCUGGAGCCCGAAGUCUGACCCCCCAUUCUGGGCUUUGCUGUGGGAUUUUUGUUUUAAGGAUAUGACUGUUGGGGAGCGGGGGGGAGGGGAGAAAGUUAUGUCUAGCUAACUUUUUAUUUUAUUUUGUUUUAUUUUUAUCUUAUCUUUCCUUCCUGUUUCUGACAAGUCCACUUUUGCCCUUAAUCAUCACGUCACAAAUGGAGAAGCCAGGAUUCACAGAUCAGAGCAAGAAACUGGGGGGGCACGGGAAGGCCUUCUCAGGGUUCCCAUGCACCUAGAGAAGCCAAGAACGUGAAUGCAUCUGCAGCAAAACCCCUGGUGUUCUCUGUCCUUCCCUCUCACUCCCACACCCCCAGAGCCCAAGAGGAUAGACUGCUCCAGCUCCUAGAAGUGGCCUCCAGUUGCCCUUAGAGGUGAGCUGUUUUCUGUUUGCUGGCAGCUGUAACCUCCAGAUAAUUGUUACUAUUACUGCUGUCUUUUCUCCUGGGAGUUCAAAAUGGGAUCUCAUUUGCCCUCUCACUCAUAUGGUUAAGAAGCAAGUAGGCGGGACAGAGAGGAUCUUUGUUCUCGAGUUCAGCCAGGGGCAGUGGGCUGAGGUCACCCAGCCAGGCAGGAUGGAACCCAGCACUUCGGGGCGGGGCCAGC